UGGGUGUGGUGGCACAUGCCUGUAGUCCCAGCUACUCUGGAGACUGAGGUAGGAGGCUCGCUUGAGCCCAAGAGUUCUGGGCUGUAAUGCACUAUGCUGAUGGGGUGUCCACACUAAGUUUGACAUAAAUAUGGUGAACCUCCUGGGAUCAGGGACCACCAGAUUGCCUAAGGAGGGGUGAACCAGCCCAGGUUGGAAAUGGAACAGGUCAAAACUCCUGUGCUGAUCAGUAGUGGGAUCACGCCUGUGAAUAGCCAAUGCACUCCAGCCUGAGCAACAUAGCAAGACCCCAUCUCU
rnacentral:SRP_RNA from 1 species